ensembl:lncRNA
AGCAGAACGGGUGGCAGGAGGUGGCAGUGACCCGUCCCACGGCCCAGCGGCGGGAGCUGCCCCGGGGCAGGGCUGGCACUCACCCUCCUCUCGGCACGGCAGGUUCGGAUUCUCCUCUCCAUCCCGCCAUGAAGCUGCCGCUGAUGCUGGGACUCGCUCUCGUUCUGGGAUGCUGGGGAGGAGUUUUCUAACCCCCACCAGUGCAAAUUUGUCCAGAGAACCACCAGAACAAGUAACUCCCAAUCUGAUUCCCUGGCACUUCCAGCACGGCGCGCCUCCGGCCGAUACCUACAGGCUGCAGAGACCUGAAACGAGCACCAGCAGCGCUGUGCUCUCCUGUCCUGGCAGCCCCCAAGCUCCAGGCAACUCUACCAGAACACGUGGCAAGAUGGGAAAGGACAUGGCUCACAAAGACAACCAGUCCCAGGCUCAGGGAAUUGGACAGAAUUCCCAAAACCUCUCUAAAUUACUGACCCGCGCUCCUCCGGCAUGACUGAGUCCCCGGGGGAGACGCCUCUCCCAGGCUUUGGGGUGAGGCCAGGAUGCAGCGCUGUGGAAGGCGGCACUGAGGCACAGCCUGACCCUGACACGGUCACCCCACGUUUGCAUCACCGCAGCUGCGGGAGGCAGAACAGCUCCAAGGUGGCUUUGGAGCAGAGGCAGCUGAUACAUGCUGAGUAUCUAAACUAAUUAAAACGGUGUUCAGAGUGUGCUGGGAGCCUCCCCUGAAAGCCCCACUCAGGCUCAGCCCGGACCUGCGGAGGAGACAGGGAGGCCCCAUUCGUCUCUGCUGGCCACAGAGCAGGGCUGGCCAUGGCACCCCCAGCCUGGAAGCCUCGGCAGCAUCCCAAAGUCAAUGAGCACUUCCAACUCCUGCCCCAAGAGCCCCGGGUGCCCUCAGCACCAGCCUGUGCUUUUGGCUGUGGACAGAACUGGGAAAUGCCACCUAUGCACCCCUGAGCAGCAAAUCUGCAGCCAGGAUGGGCCUGGCUGCGCUGCUCCAUGGCAGAACUGCUGAGACCCGCCCCAGCUGCAGCCGAGUCAGCUCCUGGGAGCUCUGGGAGGGGAGUUGGUGUAUUUUGGAGAGACAGGGAAUGUGGCAGUGCCAGGGCCAGGACUCCCCAGCUUACAGCAAACUCCCAGCCCUGCAGUUCCUGAGCCGGGGCUGGCAGAGCCUGGGCCGAUUGUGCCAGGCUCCCGGGACCUCUCCACAGCACAGCUGAGGCAAAAGCCCCUGUACAAAUCCAAACCUCCCUCUGCAGGAAGCAGCGCAGGGUCCCUCAGCCAGGCUGGGGCUUAGGGGACAGGGAGCAAGACACCCCCCAUCCAGCAGCCCCCAUUCCGGCCCCUCCAGGGGGGCAUUCCAGCACCCCCAGACCCCUCCCAGAUGCUGUGGUGCCUUUCCCCAACCCUGUGCCUCAUCUCAGGGGCUCGAUAAACAUCUGUUACCAUAGAGACUCGCUCACUGCAUCGGCUUCACCCAAGGAGAUGAAACAAGAGCCGCACCCUCAGAAAAACAGGAAGAAAAUGUUUGGCUUGAAACUGUGCUGGGGUGGGGGUCAGGGCGGCAGCAGGAGCAGGGAGGCUCUGAAAGGGGAGCAUGGCCAGCGCUGUGCACGCCAUUGAAAUUGGUAUUAAUGGUAGGAGUGCACAGAAACCCUCCCAGUUAUCCUGCUGCUGACCUUG